GACGAACGCUGGCGGCGCGCUUAACACAUGCAAGUCGAACGGAAAGGCCUGCUUUCCCUUGUGGAUUGCGGGUACUCGAGUGGCGAACGGGUGAGUAACACGUGAGUGAUCUGCCCCCAACUUGGGUAUAAGCCUGGGAAACUGGGUCUAAUUCCCGAUAGGACUGCAGGGUGGUGCCUGUGGUGGAAAACGAUUUUCUAGUGGUUGGGGAUGAGCUCGCGGCCUAUCAGCUUGUUGGUGGGGUAAUGGCCUACCGAGGCGGCGACGGGUAGCCGGCCUGAGAGGGUGGACGGCCACAUUGGGACUGAGAUACGGCCCAGACGCCUACGGGAGGCAGCAGUGGGGAAGAUUGCACAAUGGGCGGAAGCCUGAUGCAGCGACGCCGCGUGGGGGAUGACGGCCUUCGGGUUGUAAACUCCUUUCGACCGCGAGGAAGCCACCUGGUUGGAAGGGUGGUGACGGUAGUGGUAGAAGAAGCACCGGCUAACUACGU
rnacentral:rRNA from 1 species